rnacentral:lncRNA from 1 species
CUGAUCCAGCAGCAAGCCCUCCGAGGACACCAGUGACUCUGGCUGAUGCUCCCCUGUCCCAUCCUCAGCACGUGAUGCCUUAAAAAUGCUUCAGACUUGCAUGAGGAUAUGUGGAGCCCCUGGAUUUUGUCCAGCCACUCAGAACAAGGCAUUCAGUCGCCUGUCUUUAGCUCCCUGGCACCAGUCAUGAGGCAGUGCUGACAGACUCUUCAAAGUCUCGUGGUUUGGGUCUGUUCAGGGAAAAAAAAUAGUGUCUCUUGCCACUCAUCAGAUAUGCUGGAGGGCUCAAAAAAAUAGACAUGGAAAAGCAAUGGCCAUGGCU